rnacentral:piRNA from 1 species
UAAAGUUUGCAAAUUGUGAUU